GCAUAGUAAUGGAUUUAUGGAGGAGUCUGGUAUGUGACUGCUCCAUAGUGUAAGCUAUGCAAGACCAAAACCACUGCUCCGAACCAUUGGCAUGCUUCUUACCAUAGGCCUGAUCACUGAAGUGAGCGGUACAUUU